AUUGAACGCUGGCGGCAGGCCUAACACAUGCAAGUCGAGCGAGCGGCGGACGGGUGAGUAAUGUCUGGGAAACUGCCUGAUGGAGGGGGAUAACUACUGGAAACGGUAGCUAAUAACGCAUACCAUCAGAUGUGCCCAGAUGGGAUUGGCUAGUAGGGGGGGUAACGGCUCCCCUAGGCGACGAUCCCUAGCUGGUCUGGGAGGAUGAACAGCCACACGGGAACUGAGCCACGGUCCAGACUCCUACGUGAGGCAGCAGUGGGGAAUAUUGCACAAUGGGCGCAAGCCUGAUGCAGCCAUGCCGCGUGUGUGAAUAAGGCCUUCGGGUUGUAAAGCACUUUCAGCGGGGAGGCGUUACCCGCAGAAGAAGCACCGGCUAACUCCGUGCCAGCCGCCGCGGUAAUAC
rnacentral:rRNA from 1 species